AGUGCAGUUGUAGAUAGCCUUAGCUGUGCAUUGCUCUCUUUGCAUCAGUCAAUAUUAUCAGAUGCCUGAAUUAAGGAGAGUGAAAUUCAUUUCUGGUACAAAGGCAACAGCAAAGGCAGCAUCAGCAAAGGCAACAGCAAGUAAGGGCAAAUCAGUUCUCUUUUAUGCCAGACCAACAAUUACAAGUUCAACAAACAAUAGAGCUGGCAGAGGUCGUGGCAGAGGAGCUAAAAAUUGUGGGAGAGGUGUUGCACCUGUUGGAAUCCAAGAGAGUCAAGCAAAUUGAGUAGUACAAUGCAAUUGUUAUUAAAUGUUGAGCAUGACAUUUCCUUUUUUAGGCAAAUAUUGUGUUUGUUAUCUUGUUUGCAGACUUGUGCCUUUCUUUGUAGCAGCCUUUGCACUAAUUUUUUGUAGGCAAAUAUUGUCUUUGUAUCCACACAUAUUAACAGAAUGUUUUGAAGGUAAAUAAUUCCUUUAUUUUCAUCAA